rnacentral:rRNA from 1 species
AUGCACGCUGGCGGCGUGCCUCAUCCAUGCCAGUCGAGCGAACAGAUGAGGAGCUUGCUCCUCUGACGUUAGCGGCGGACGGGUGAGUAACACGUGGAUAACCUACCUAUAAGACUGGGAUAACUUCGGGAAACCGGAGCUAAUACCGGAUAAUAUAUUGAACCGCAUGGUUCAAUAGUGAAAGACGGUUUUGCUGUCACUUAUAGAUGGAUCCGCGCCGCAUUAGCUAGUUGGUAAGGUAACGGCUUACCAAGGCGACGAUGCGUAGCCGACCUGAGAGGGUGAUCGGCCACACUGGAACUGAGACACGGUCCAGACUCCUACGGGAGGCAGCAGUAGGGAAUCUUCCGCAAUGGGCGAAAGCCUGACGGAGCAACGCCGCGUGAGUGAUGAAGGUCUUCGGAUCGUAAAACUCUGUUAUUAGGGAAGAACAAAUGUGUAAGUAACUAUGCACGUCUUGACGGUACCUAAUCAGAAAGCCACGGCUAACUACGUG